AACGAACGCUGGCGGCAUGCCUAACACAUGCAAGUCGAACGAGACCUUCGGGUCUAGUGGCGCACGGGUGCGUAACGCGUGGGAACCUGCCCUUAGGUUCGGAAUAACUCCCCGAAAGGGGUGCUAAUACCGGAUAAUGCCUUCGGACCAAAGAUUUAUCGCCUUUGGAUGGGCCCGCGUUGGAUUAGCUAGUUGGUAGGGUAAAAGCCUACCAAGGCGACGAUCCAUAGCUGGUCUGAGAGGAUGAUCAGCCACACUGGGACUGAGACACGGCCCAGACUCCUACGGGAGGCAGCAGUGGGGAAUAUUGGACAAUGGGCGAAAGCCUGAUCCAGCAAUGCCGCGUGAGUGAUGAAGGCCUUAGGGUUGUAAAGCUCUUUUACUCGGGAUGAUAAUGACAGUACCGGGAGAAUAAGCUCCGGCUAACUCCGUG
rnacentral:rRNA from 1 species